UACGGAGGGGGCAAGCGUUGUUCGGAUUUACUGGGCGUAAAGGGAGCGUAGGCGGUUGAUUAAGUCCGGUGUGAAAGCUUUACCACUCAACGGAAAGAGGUCACUGGAAACUGGUCGGCUAGAGUAAGGUAGAGGCAAGCGGAAUUCCUGGUGUAGCGGUGGAAUGUGUAGAUAUCAGGAAGAACAUCUGUGGCGAAGGCGGCUUGCUGGGCCUUUACUGACGCUGAGGCUCGAAAGCGUGGGGAGCAAACGGG
rnacentral:rRNA from 1 species